CCUAUCCUAUAUAACUGGGUUCUGCUCUAGGUGGCAACACAUAGGGCACAGUGGACAAAGGGACACACAAAUGCCAAGCUGUCCUGUCUCCUUCCAGUGUAGUCAAGGUUCUCCAGAGAAGAAAAACCCACAGGCCCGUAUUGUCUUGAUUUCUCCAUAUUUUGUAAGUAUUUUAUUUCGCCUUUUAGCUUAUUUGUGUGUGUGUGUGUGUGUGUGUGUGUGUGUGUGUGUGUGUGUGUGUGUGUGUGUGUGUGUGUGUGUGUGUGUGUGUGUGUGUGUGUGUACCAUAUGUGUUCCUAGUGACAAAAGAAGCCAGAAGAGGCCAUUAGAUUACCUGAAACUGGAGAUAGACCUUAGUUGGCAUGUGGGUUCUGGGAAGCAAACCUCGGCCCUCUAAAGCGCAGGAAGCACUCGUACCUCCUGAGCAUGCCCUCCAGUUCCAUAUAUUUAAUUUUUUAAAAAGCUACUAACAAGAAUAUUUGUGUAAAAUGCACAUGUAUAUGCCCUGAGUUGUAAAGUAUCUAACAGAAUAAUAAAUAGUUUAAAAGACCUAGAAGAUCAGGAUAAACCAUUACAACGUUUUCUGUUGUUAAGAAGCCCAAAAUUACUUUACACCUUAAAAAUAACAGUGGUAUUGAUUCUAUAUGCAGAAUCUCCAAAUUAACUGGAAACUUAGUCAUAAUAAUUGGUACCAGGUACUUUUUUUUCAUAUUGACUAGUUUAUUAUAAGGCCCAGCAGAGUAGGGAGACUAAGAGAGAAGAGGAACAGGGGUAAUGGCUAACCACCAUAGCUAGUCGCUAUAGAGAGGCAGAGAGAGCACGUAGAUGGAGAAGAGAGAGCGAAGCAGAAGCAGAGAGAGAGAGUAAGGAGUAAAGAGAAUAAAGAGCACCAGGUACUUUUUUUUGACACUCUGUAGUUUAUUUUAAUGUACACAUAAUGAUAAACAUUCAGAAGAUUUACAGCUUAUGUCAUACAAAACCGGGACAUUGCACACACAGGGUAACAGGAACUUUAAUGAACCUUUUUCCCGUCUUCCAUUUUAAAGACAUACUUAUGGCUACCCACUCAUAUCCCCAGCCACACUGAGCAAAUAAAUUCUCUAAUCAAUAACUUCCCUUGGGAGAAUUCUAUUGUUGCCUGAGAACACUUUUUCUCUAUUAGAUGCUAAUUAACUUGACUCUCAAGCAGGAACUAUCCAAGACAAAGCAGAUCUGACCUAGCCAAGCCUGUAGCUAGAGGAAAGUGAAAAUACAAGUAACCACUGUCUCAGCGGCGUGAGCUCUUGCACACUACAUGUUGGCAACACAGACACUCUGUGUGUAGCUCAGCAUCAGGUUUGAGUCCUGCAGCACUUUGCCUUUCACUAAAAUCAGACGAAACACUGCCAAAAUUUUUCCAGACAGAUAAGUGUAGCAAGAUUCAUUCACUCAGAUGGAGGAAACAGCAAGCUGCCCUGACACAAUACUGUCUUUAUUUCAUCAGCACGUUGAAACAUGGAGUCUUGUACUUUGAAACCUGUUAGUAGACAAACAACAUGGAGUGCAAGACAACUCUUGCCUUAUCCUGGCUUUCUAAUUACUCAUGAAAAUGACAUAUGUGGGUUAUUCUGAGUGUGUUUCUGAGACAGAUAUCUCAGACAAGGUCAUGUGAACCCACAGAGGGAGUUCCAACUGUCCAAUGGCAAAAGGUGGAAAAGGCUGAGUCAGGAUGCAAUGAGUUUAGCCCCCUUUCUACAAGUUCUUCUGCAAGUUCUUUUACUUAGUGAGUCUUGGAUGGAAGAAUCUUAGAGCUCUGGGUCUUUUAUUUUUAUUUAUUUAUUUUUUAUUGGACAUCAAGGCUGAUAUAAGAAACUAUAACAAAUAUAUUCAGUGUGUCAGACUGGCAUCUCUUCUUCUGUUUAGUAGCGCAUUUAAAGCUCUAGGCAGACUAAUUAGGCAAGAAAAAGAAGUAAAAGAUUUGGCUCUAAAUUAGGAAGGAAGAAACAAGCAGCUCUGUGCACAAAUGAUAUGACCCAAGGUAAUGAUGAAUUCUUUAAAAUCCUAGGAUACAAAAAAAUUAUUAACUCAUAAUUCUGUAAGUUCAAAUCCAAGAUCAGGUGCUUAUAUUGCUUUGGACCUCUGAUGAGCAUGUCCCAGGGUGGGAAACAGUGUUCACCUCAUAGCCAAGAAGCAAAAGUGAAGGGAAAGGCAAGAGUCCCAGUGCCCUAAAGAAUUCCCACCAGGCCUGUCUCCUAAAGGACCCAUCACCGACAUGGUGGUUUCAAGGAGAAAUAAGCCCCAUCCCCAGCCUUGAGCACUUGAACACUUGGUCUCCAGUGGUGCUGUUUGGGGGAAGUUUAGGUGGUGUAAUCUUGCUGUAGGAAGCACAUCACUGGGGCCAGGCUUUGAUUGAAAGCCUCUCACCAUUUCCAGUUUGCUCCUCCUGCUUUGUGCCUGUGGUUCAAGGUGUGAGUUCACAGCCUCCUGUCACCAUGCCUGUUGCCUCCAUGCCUGCUGCCUGCUACCUGCCACCUGGCGCCUGCUGCCUGUGCCAUGCUUCCUUGCAAUUAUGGACUCCAAACCUCUGUAACCACAAACCAAAAUAAACUUUUCUGAGUUGUCUUAGUCACGGUAUUGUAGCACAGCAACAGAAAAGUAAUUAAUACACCCUCUCAAUAGAGCCAUGCUCAGAAACAAACAAAAAGUCUUUAUCACAUGGGCCUAGG
rnacentral:lncRNA from 1 species